GCGGCCGCGGGAAUUCGAUUAGAGUUUGAUCAUGGCUCAGAUUGAACGCUGGCGGCAGGCCUAACACAUGCAAGUCGAGCGGCAACGGGGGGAAGCUGCUUCCCCGCCGGCGAGCGGCGGACGGGUGAGUAAUGUCUGGGGAUCUGCCCGAUGGAGGGGGAUAACCACUGGAAACGGUGGCUAAUACCGCAUAACCUCUUUGGAGUAAAGUGGGGGACCUUCGGGCCUCACGCCAUCGGAUGAACCCAGAUGGGAUUAGCUAGUAGGUGGGGUAAUGGCUCACCUAGGCGACGAUCCCUAGCUGGUCUGAGAGGAUGACCAGCCACACUGGGACUGAGACACGGCCCAGACUCCUACGGGAGGCAGCAGUGGGGAAUAUUGCACAAUGGGCGCAAGCCUGAUGCAGCCAUGCCGCGUGUAUGAAGAAGGCCUUCGGGUUGUAAAGUACUUUCAGCGGGGAGGAAGGCAACAGCGUAAAUAGCGCUGUUGAUUGACGUUACCCGCAGAAGAAGCACCGGCUAACUCCGUGCCAGCAGCCGCGGUAAUACGAAUCACUAGUGAAUUCGCGGCCGCCUGCAGGUCGACAUAUGGGAGAGCUCC
rnacentral:rRNA from 1 species